UGUGAUGGCGGAGAUGGUGGGGUGGAUGGUGAUGGUGGAGAUGGUUGUGGUUUGUGAUGGUGGAGCCGGUGGGGCGGCGGUGAUGGUGGUGAUCCGGUGGGGCGGCGGUGAUGGUGGUAAUCGGUUUUUGGGUGCCUCUGUCGUCGGUCAGUCGGUGAAUCGGCAGAGGAUGGGGGCUUGAAUUGUUACCAAAAUUGUGUUUUGGUUGAUUUUCUGAAGUUAACGAGUUUGAAAAACCGAAUGAUAAAGAGCUUUAAUAUGAUGAAUUGUUGUGCAACCUUGGUGGAAGUACCCUGAUAUAAUCUUGGCUUAUGGUUUUAGUGACGAGUACAGAAGGAAACCAAACCUGUGCACUUUUGUCAAGAAGGAAACCAAAUUUUAUCAAAGGCGUGCCAGGUAAUAUUGUUUUACUCCUGGAUAUUGUUUUUUACAACUUAUAUUAACAAUGAAUUGACACUUCGAUGAUGGUGG